UUUUCCGCCUGAAGCUCUUCCUCUCCUCUGAUUUGUUCAGCCGUCAAGUCCUCCGCUUGUCUCUUUUCUGGUUUCCUCUCCAGCCCAUUCACCAAACCCCAGCCGUUAAAAGCCUUCAGAUUUUUCUCACUCAGCCGUUAUCUUCCCAAAAAACUCUCUCUCUCGCUCUCCUUCUCAAUUCUUUCUCAGCCCUCCUUAUACUUUCCUUUAGCCGUCUGUAAUCCUUUUCUCAGUCUCUCUUGCUUUCUCUUUGUUUUCCAGAUUCCACCUAAGCCCAC
rnacentral:lncRNA from 1 species